rnacentral:rRNA from 1 species
CCUACGGGUGGCAGCAGUGGGGAAUAUUGCACAAUGGGGGGAACCCUGAUGCAGCGACGCCGCGUGAGUGAAGAAGUAUUUCGGUAUGUAAAGCUCUAUCAGCAGGGAAGAAGAUGACGAUACCUGACUAAGAAGCCCCGGCUAACUACGUGCCAGCAGCCGCCGUAAUACGUAGGGUGCAAGCGUUAUCCGGAUUUACUGGGUGUAAAGGUAGCGUAGGCGGCAGGGCAAGUCUGGUGUGAAAGCCCGGGGCCCAACCCCGGGACUGCUUUGGAAACUGCCAUGCUAGAGUGCUGGAGAGGUGAGUGGAAUUCCAAGUGUAGCGGUGAAAUGCGUAGAUAUUAGGAGGAACACCAGUGGCGAAGGCGGCUUACUGGACAGUAACUGACGUUGAGGCGCGAAAGCGUGGGGAGCAAACAGGAUUAGAUACCCCUGUAGUC